AAUGAAAUAGCAGCUACUGGAACACCAGUAGCUCUCUUUCCUCCCAGAGAUGCAACAGGGAAUAUAAUUUAAUUUGAUUAAUUCAUAGCCUGUAUGUCCUCUUUCCUAUUUUUAUAUGUACAUAUUUUUCCCUUUUCUAUCCCCCUUACUUUCUUUUGGCACUUGCAUUUAUCAGCUAUUUGAGAACAAUUCCAAUGCUUUUAGCAGGAAGCGGUGAGCAGCAAGAGAACUACCAGAACAUUGGUACCUUGACUUCUGAUGUGUGAUGGAGGGAAACGUUUGGAUCUUCUCAGGAGGAUGCAAAUGAAAGCAUGAAGACUUCAGACAUCACAGAGGCUCAGAAAAAACUCAGAAAAAGACAGAGAAUGAGAGAACAGAAGAAGUUGAAGCAGCAGAAUCUUCUUCUAUGAGAUAUUCUUUUUGAAAUUUAUGCAAAGAGAAUGCAGCUCUCCUUAAGCCACUGUGCUUUGCAUGAGAUAAUUCAGUAUGAAUUGGACCAGAGAGAGAGAGAGAGAGACAUCAGUGAAUGUAAUUUUUGAACCCCAGAGGCCAGUCAGCUACUGGAGGGAAGGGAGCUGCACUUGAGUCCCACUUCUAAUUAACGUAACUGUUAAUUAGUGUGGAAAACAGCAAAAAAGACCUGCCAGGAGGAUUUCAGAACCCACCAGACUGCAGCCUAACAGUUAGGACAUGCUUGCGUGAGUUUAACUGUUCUUGGUUAAGAGACAGACUUAAAAUCUCUGACUCUUGGAUUAAAAAAAAAAAAAAAAAAAAAAAAAAAAAGAAGAAGAAAAAGAAGAAAAAGAAAAAGAAAGACCGGAUAAAAUGGAAAUAGAAACAAAACACUUCAAUUUGCUGAGAAUGAAAUCUGUGCAAACACUUUUUGUAAUCCUCAACUAGAUUCAGAGAAAUGAGUGGUUUUUAAACCCUGACAGUGUAUAAAUAUAAAUUACAUGCUUAGCUGCUCAGUGCCAUCAAAAUGUGCAUGGUUCUGGGCAUACCCUGAAGGAGACAUUUAUCUGCUGGUAGAAGUUGACUGGUGGAAGUGCAAUCACUUAAGGAACCAUUUCUGUUAAUGCGAAGGCUGCUGUUGAUGACUGCCUGCUGCUUUAUUCUUCGGGACUGACUGCUUGGCUGACUUUGAACUUGUUGGUUGGGUUUUAUAAGAAAAAAUGUAGACGUUUACAGCAUAGGUAUCUACAUUUGACCCACUGUCCUUGACUCUUUCCCCAUUCAUCAUUUGUUUACUUAGUAUAGAAAAUAUGAAGAUCUGUGAGGAAUGUAUUUGUGUUUGACAAAAUGAAGUUCAUUGUUUUUAAAGAAGUUUUAUACAUAAAAAGGAAACAGAUGCUGCC
rnacentral:lncRNA from 7 species